rnacentral:rRNA from 1 species
ACGCUGGCGGCAGGCCUAACACAUGCAAGUCGAGCGAGACCUUCGGGUCUAGCGGCGGACGGGUGAGUAACGCGUGGGAAUAUGCCCUUCGGUUCGGAAUAGCCCCGGGAAACUGGGAGUAAUACCGGAUACGGUCUACGGACGAAAGAUUUAUCGCCGAAGGAUUAGCCCGCGUUGGAUUAGGUAGUUGGUGGGGUAAUGGCCUACCAAGCCGACGAUCCAUAGCUGGUUUGAGAGGAUGAUCAGCCACACUGGGACUGAGACACGGCCCAGACUCCUACGGGAGGCAGCAGUGGGAAUCUUAGACAAUGGGGGAAACCCUGAUCUAGCCAUGCCGCGUGAGCGAUGAAGGCCUUAGGGUUGUAAAGCUCUUUCAGCGGGGAAGAUAAUGACUGUACCCGCAGAAGAAGCCCCGGCUAACUCCGUG